AGCUCUGUGAGGAAGAAGACGCGCGCCAUACCCUCAAAUCAAGAAGCUCCCGCCUCCCCCGCAUGUGUUGGACGUUGUCUGCCCCUUGUGAAGACUUAUUCCGCUACACAUCGCCCCUGCUCUCUUUAUGAUCAGGUCUCCAUCCCCUACGUUGGUGGCACAGAAGGACAUUCAGGUGUUCAUCAACGGGGAGCCCAUCUUUGUGACAAAGAUCACAAAAUUUAGUGCAGGGUUUGAAGCCCUUUUUCAUUGUUUUUGGGUGUUUAGGCUCCAGUACCCAAAAGAAAUAAAAAAUACAGUGUUGUUUUUUGAAAAAAAGUAAUUUUCAAAGAAAGCCCAAAGGUUCCAGCAACAGUAAUGUCAUGGGCCAAAAAAAUUCAAUUGUGUAACCUUACACAUCAUCAUCAUCAUCCUCAUAUGUUUACUCAAUAUUAAAUAUAUAUGCUGUA